UACAGAGGGGGCAAGCGUUGUUCGGAAUUACUGGGCGUAAAGGGCGCGUAGGCGGCCUUCUAAGUCGAACGUGAAAUCCCCGGGCUCAACCCGGGAACUGCGUCCGAUACUGGAAGGCUUGAAUCCGGGAGAGGGAUGUGGAAUUCCAGGUGUAGCGGUGAAAUGCGUAGACAUCAUCUGGAACGCCAAAGGUGAAAACAGACUGCUGGGAGUGUGCUGACGCUGAGACACGAAAGCUAGGGGAGCGAACGGG
rnacentral:rRNA from 1 species